rnacentral:lncRNA from 1 species
GAUGAUUAUGCUGAUGCACAUAUUUGUAUAUUUAUAGGUUCGCAUCCAACUACCUCUUAUGAUAUUUGGAUUGGUUUUGGUAUUAUGCAUUAUAUCUUGGCAUUCAUUCUUGUAUGUUUAUUUCCUAUCACUGGUAUGCACCUAUAUGUAUCAGCCUUAUGGGAGGUUGCAUAGGUAUGGGUGAUGAGUAUGCCUUGUGGUGUGUUGU